GCCCAGCUCUUGAGCUGGGCCAGCUGCUGCUGGCCACUGUGGGGGUAACGUGCUCUGCCCUCUGGGUCUGACUCUUGCCCUUUGCACUUGCCCAUCACCUAUAAAUGUACGUACAACAGAUGUACUGUCUGUGGCUGAAGCAGUUAGCACACGGGUAUAAAUGUCAGCAAACUGGAACCAAACCAUGAGGCCGGGGAGCUUGCAGAGACCUUGAGACAACAGCUGUCGGGCGAGGAGCCUCCUGGUUUUCUGUACGGCGUCUACUUGAGCGGACAAUGACAACCGUGAAGUCUGUUACAUUACUGGUUGCUGAACAGAUUUUUGUAGGGAGAAUCAACAGAUUCCUUCUAGGAGAAACAGCAGAUUUUUAUAGGGCAUCACAGGGAGCCAGAAGUGCUGGCAACCACAGGGAGCAGCUCUAAAGACUGUAUCCCAAUUACUGAUAGGAGAGGAUACAAGAAGAUGAGUCGCCAGCUCCUAUGUGCACGCACAAAGCCACACUCCUCUCCAGGAGCUGGCUCUGUUCCUAGCUCCUGGAGCUGUGCUUUUCCCACUCUAGACCCUGCUUCUGCUUUCUGGAGUCAUGGGAUUCACGCUCACAUUGCUCCAGCUGUUCCUUUGUGCAAGCCCCUUACUAGAUUUGCUUGGAGUUGAGCCUUAUUUCCACGAUGUGCAUAGUUUCUGUUCAUUAACAAAUGACUGCUGCACCAGGAAACAAAACCCAUGUCCUCAUCUAACACAGUGCAGUCAGGGUUAGCUCAUAAACCAUGUUUUCAUGCAACAGGGAGGAACGGAAGCCCCAGAUCAGUGGUCCCGUUUUUGUCCCAAAUCACAAAAUUCUGGUGGGAAGACAUUUUCACCUUUCAAAACUUCAAGCAUUGAAAUUCUCCAGGGAAGACCAUGGGAGCAAAAGGUAGGGUCAACUUGUAAGGUCUGUGUGUUUGCAUCAGGACUGGAAGCAUACACUCAAUAAAAAGUAGGUUGUGGUUGAAGAAGGAUGCAGAGGAGACACUGGAAGACUCUGUCCCACUGCCUGAGCAUCCUCUUAAGCAAGAAAAAUCAAAAAACUACUGGGGAGUAUUACUGCAUUCAAGAUGCAAGAAAAUACACCCUAGCAUCCUCUGCUCUCAUAGUAGCUGAACCUCAUUUGCUGUUGCUGCUUUGCCUAAUCACCUAAGCUGUGACAAAAGCCAAAGCAAAAUCUUUUGCACAGUCUGAGACUGUAUACACGUGUUCUGGAGCCUACUGCUGUCCUUUUGCCCAGAUCUUCCACAAAAGCAGAAACACUUUCAGCAAGGGAAAAAAAAAAGGCAACUGUAAAAAAUCAAUUUUUAGAAAGAAUGUAGCAUGAUGCUAUUCUCCUUAUUCGGCAACUGGUAUCCCAUGCGGAGUCUCACACAAUAGCCAGUCUGGCAGGGGGUAGAGUAAGAAGACAACUUGGGGGGAAAAAUUAUAUAUAUAUAUAUUCCCUGCUGGCCCUCACCCUCCAUUUCCUCUUGGAUUUCUUUGUGACUGCACUGAAAGGGGUCAAUAGCUCCCAGCUUGAGAAAUGCAGCUUUUGAAAGGACUAUCACCAGCAUCUGUAUUUAAAGCAUGCCUUUUACUUCACAGCCCCCCAGCUAACACAGAGCUUUUAAAAAGCAAGCAGCAAGAUAAACUUUCAAGGGAAAGAAAAAGGGAAGAGUGGAGGAGAAAUGGUACCUUUUUGCCUUGGGUUUACUGACACUUUCACUGGAAUAAAGCUUGCCUGGCAAAGCAGGGACAGGGAGCAUAAGCUGCAGAUGAUCUAAUGUGCUAUGGAUCAUUACACCUUGCUUCAGUCACCACCUCCCCAUCCUUGAAGUAUGCUACAAAACCACAUGAAGCAGCCAAGCGCCAAGCUGGAAAAGAAUUUCAACUGAUUAAAAACAAUGGGCAAAUUAGCACUGGACUCACUGAACACAUCAAAGCUUUGCGACUUGAUCUUCAGUGUUUAAGAAAUUCUGAUCUGACAAACACAGGCGACCUAGUCAAAUUUUAAUAGGCUUAACUAACUUAUCUUGAUGAUGAAACGCCGGUCCAGUGACUAUGCUUAUAUUUAAGCUUUCUAUUUGAGGAAUAGUCCAGAAAAGCUACGGCACAUUAAAAUCAGGGAUUUAUGGGCAGGGAGGAGGAACGGGAUUGUAAAUGUCUCCCUCAGUACCCUGGAGCAGCCCAUGUGGAAUGCUGGCAUGUAAGCAUUUUUUUCACAACCCCUGGCCUUGCUUCACAUUGCAGUCUGGGUCAAACAUCCACCAGCAAUUACACUGUAGCAACUUACACUAUUACUAUGUGUGUUUUAAUUUGCUUUUGGGGUGGAUGAAUCCAAGCGUCCACCCAAACAGUUUGUACAGGUCAGCUGGUGCCGUGGCCUCUAUGUGUAAACAGGUCCAAAUCCCAUCCAUGUGCUUUGGAAAAUAAAUGACAGCUCUUGCUACUAGAACUUUUCCAAAUUUAAGGAGAAAAAUAGGUGAAUUGCUACAGACAGAAGCUCAACUUUGUGAUGAGCAGAGAUAUUGACUAAAUAAGAGAAGCUACAAUAUUCCAGCUCCAAUUUAUUUGACAUUGUAUUCAGCUAGUCAUUCAACCAGAGCCUCUCAGUAAAUGUCAGCAGAAGCCCACAAUGUUUAUCUAAGGAAGUCCUGAAAUUCACAGCUG